rnacentral:lncRNA from 1 species
CUGCAUCUCAGAGACAGAUAACCUCGCUUUACGCCUUUCUCUACCAUCUCCUGCCUCCUUGACACCUUUUUCAGUGCCCAGCACGACCUCCAAUAUAAGAGGUGCUCCGCAAACAUGUUUGCUUACUAAAAGAGUGAAUGAAUAAAUUAGCAAAGGAAGUUACUACAAUGGAAGGAAAUAAGUCUAGCAGAUUUUUAAACCACAUCUAUUUAAUUGUAUCCUAAUUAAGGGGAGAAACAUAGCAAUAUGGGGGGAGGUGGGACAGAGAGAGGCAGAGAGAUCUCUGCAAACUGCAAGGUGUGACCCCCGGCUAGAAGAGCCAGCCUAAUCGGAAGCCAGACGGCCCACCUGGUCGGGCUGCAGCUGAGGGGUGGCAGGAGGCGAAGGAGCGGCUGGAGCCCGCUCCCUUCCGCCUCAGCCCCACAGCCUCGCCACCCCUACCCGCGUGCCACUGCCCCGUGAGGAGGCUCGGAGCUGCGGGAGCAGAGGCCACCGAGCUGGGCUUCUGGAACGAGGCGGGGUGGUGCGAGCUCAGACGCUUUGCAAUUGCUGGAGCAGCGGUGGCGACGCUUGAGUUAGUCACAAAGGCUGGGAUUCAAGUGAGGCUGGCGCUGCUCCAAGGCCCGUAGCUCGGGAGGAGGAGGAGGAAGGCGCAUUAACGAUCCCAGCCCGGCGCCGCGGGACUCCGAGGGUCUCCGUCCGCAACCCCGCCGCCGGGACCCCCAGCCCCUCCUCGGUCUGUCUGCGCCGGGUGGGGGCGGGGCCGAGGGUGGGUGGCCUCGCGCGUCACGUGAGGGAGCCUCAUCACGUGACGGCCCGGCGAGGUCGGAGGCGGCAUGUGACUCCCGGGGCUACGUGGGCUCGAAAACAAUUUAAAUACAAAAACACAAGCAGGUCCCCUCCUCUCCUUGCCUUGUGGCCCGCCUCUGCCUGCCUCUGGGUUGGGGCCCGAGCGAAUGGAGAGCCCGCCGCCUCGCAGGCACUAACAGCGCCGGGUGCCCGGAGCCCAGGCCGCCCCGUCGGAGACCCCGUCAGCCGGGCCCCGUCGUUUCGCAGCCCCCUGACUUCCCAGCCUGCUUGCUUUCUCUGGAGUUUGCAGUGUUGAAGCUAGAACAUCAGUCCCAGUGAGAAUUCCUGUUCUACUUGAGCCAGUGCCUGGGAUUACACAGAAUGGGGCAGAUGUGCUCACACGGCAGGUACCUGUUCUAGAGUGGACUCCAGGCCCUGCACCUUACCUGGGGCAGUGCUCACCUUCCUUCCCUCAGAGAGCUGGCUGUUGUCUCAGCCUUGCCCCCACCCCCUUAAUUCACAGACCCUAUUAGUUAGAAAGGCCCAGCCUCCCUAUCUCAGCCAACUUUCAAAUUCAGAGCCUUCCCCAGGGAAAUCAUUCCCUGUUCAGAAGCAGUUCUGGGGUCUUUUUCCUGGC